ACACUCCAACUGAGUACAGUGCCCAGCACAUGGCUAAUACUCCAUAAAUAUUUACUGCAUGAAUAAAAGAUCGAAAGAGGGGACUCCCGAGUCUCUUCUGGACAUGGUGAUCCUUCCCUCACAGCAUGUACUAUGCUCAGCUCCUCCCUCCCUCUUGGGCCAGUCUUCAAAUGAGUAAGAGUCACAGAAAUAGUCAGCUAAAAGAAGAUGGUAACUGGGGCACAGAGAACUGGGAGAAUCAUCCAAGUCUUGCUGUGAAUAAGACGUGGAGCUGGAUGGAACCAUAAUUUCAGCCAACACUGAAUGCUACACUAUGGAGACAUGGAUUCCACAGUUUUUAAAGCAGAUUAUAUUUGGAGCCAUAUAUUCAAUGCUUUGCCGCCGGGUCUUCUAGGUGUCUCAUCAGCAUGGAGAACUCUGUUCUGGGCCUACGGGAACCACAGGUUUCCUUUUGCGGGGAGUAUGGCACAUGUUGCUAGGAAUUUGGCUGGGAACAGGGAGUUUCAGAUGGCCUUCAUCAUGACUGUAAAGAUGUGGGAUAAGCCCAGUCAGGUCCUUGAAAGUGGCUGAGCCCAACUGAAAUGGAUGCAGACAGUAGUUGGAAGAAAGUAACAAGGCUGGCCUUGAAUUCACAGUGACCUGCCAGUCUCUGCCUCCUGUGUGCUGGGAUGAAGAGUCUAUGCCACCAUGUAAACACCUGUCUUCAGGUGCUCACUCAUUAAAGAAGAGGAGAAA